CCGUGCAGGUGGUGCUGGAUACCACUCCCUUCUAUGGCGAGGGAGGCGGUCAGGUGGGUGAUCGCGGCACUCUGGCCGGU
rnacentral:tRNA from 1 species